AUCAGAAAGGGUUAUGAAUUAAACCCUAAUUGAAUUGAGGAUAUAAACAAGGUUAGUGAAUUUAAAAGGUUUUUAGCAUAGGGUUUUCAAAGUGGGAGAUCGCAUUGAUGUAAAGCUUAUAGAGGUAUGUCAUGUUAUGGUUGAUUUUUAUGUAUAUAGUCCAUAUCUACAUAAUUGAGUUGAUUGAUGUUGUUAGUUGUUGAAAUGGAAAAAGAAAAUGGUAACCGUCUUUAUAUAUAAAGAGGUCCACAAAUCAAUUUGGUUUUGGUGCUGUUCUUAUUGAGUAAGCAAAUAUGAGGCCUACCUACGCCUAAAUAGGCACAGCCAUAUUGAAUGAAUUGAAUUUAAAACUAAAUUUAUUAUUUUCUUGAUCUUAUUAAAAUAAUUAUGAUAAAAGUCUUUUAUAUUAAGAAUGGUAUAAAAAUUAUUAUAAUUUUAUUUUUCAUUUGAAAAUUUUGUAUGACUAUGGUUUAAAACUAAUAAUAUCAUUCAAUUGCAGUGUCUUUGGAUAAAAAUAAUUACUGUUUACACAAAAAAAUGAAUCAUUUUGAGUUUAUAUCUAUUAAAAUAUUAAUUAAUUUUACCACAAACUCUUAAUCUAUUUCUAUUAAUUUUCUAUUCUAAUUUCGUAAUUUAAGACAUUCUUACUCGUGUGGAAAAGAGAAUAGCUAGAGAAAAGAAAAGGCAGGAAGAGGUAUUUUAAUAUGGAAAAACAUACAUUGUAUAGAUAUUUUAAUGGAGGUUGACUAGGCAAAAGGCUCAACCUUGUGUAAUGGGGAAAAUGAAAAAGAAUUUUUAGAAACCAAAUCGGGGCAAAAUGAAAACGAAUACUAAAUAAAAGCUUCGAUUGAGAUGAUGGAGCUUCGAUUGAGAGAUGAAGAUUAGAAUAUAUGGAGACGAAGAGCAAACGACUACGGUGUGUAUAAAAACCAUGAAACCCUAUAAGUCUGUGAAAAACUACGGAAAGUAUGUAAGAAUAUGAGAGUGUGAAAAUAUAUUAUGGGAUAUAAGACACUUUGGCGCAAUUUAAAAAAAAAAUCGUUUAGACUUCUUAGGGGUUCAAAUAACUCCUCGUUAGUGCUUCUCUUUCAAGAGGUUAUUAUAACCCCUCUUAAAAAAAAACCCUUGUUAUAAUUUAUUUAUUUUUUGUAGUGACCAUGUUCUUAAAAUUUUAUGUUGUUUUAAAACACUUUUGUCUGUGUCUGGACACGUGUUGUCACAUGUCAAAUUUAAUUAUUAACUAGAGUUUGAUGAAAAAAGGAAAAUUUAUAUUUUAUAUAUAUAUAAACUAUAGAUAUAUAUAAAAACUAUACAAUACAUGUGGAACUUGCACCAGGUGCUUCUACUUGGUCCCAAAUUCAUGUCACACUUUGGGGGGGAACUUCAGCUUGUCAGCCACGUCUGGGAUGGCGAUCAAUUCCUUGUGAUUCAUUUUAAACUUGUGUCAACAGGACAAGUCUCCUUUCGCUUGCGCCCUAUCUGAUGCUUUUCGGCUUGUAGGGUGCAUGUCUGACUAUGAACUGCUCCCUGAACAAUGCAGAAAACUGAUCGAAUGAGGUUGUGUCCAUCAAGGAGACCAAUGAAUCAUUCUAGUGUCGUGCCUUCGAACGUCCCCAUGAACAACUUGCAGUGCAUUGUGUCUGUCCCUUCGAAGAUCAUCAUUUGAGUAUGGAAAGCCGUGAUGUGGGUUUCCAGGUUUUCGGUAUAUGUGAAAGUGAUUAUGGGUGUAAUGAAAUUGGUUGGUAUCACGACAUCCAUGAUCGUCUGGGAGAACUGCAUGGGGCGAGCCCUAACUGGAAUAGGCAGGCUUUGCUCCCCUAUUGUGCGUUCCCCCAAACGCUUUAGAUCUCUCCGCAACUCCUCAUUGGCCUUGCGUAACUCUUCGUUGUCUGUCCGCGACACAUCCAACUCGACCUUGAAUUGGUCUUAGCAGAAUAGAUUUGUCUGCAUUAACCAUAUUAUUAGCAAGAAAAAAAUAUUGUAGACAUUAUUAGUAUCUAUGGGACAACUUUUUAAGAGUUCAAAGCAUAUUCAUCGCACACAAAGCAUACUUAUUUGUGAGGGUUAUGAAUUUGAUGAAAGGAAAUUAUUCAAAUCUUGAUUCACUUUCCACAUUUAUUCUUCUUUGGUGCAGAGGAUUUGGCAGAAAAUGAAGGUAGGAAUAUGUGUAUUCAUACAAAUGGAAAUUAGAUUUUGAGAACCAAAGUUGUAGGGUGGCCAGGAGGUCGGAGGAGAAGAUAUGUGGCAUGCAAGAGACAAACUUAAUCCAGGCAAUUGCUUCCUGCACCCACACUUUUGAACCUGCACCCAACACAAUUUCAAAAAUUCCAAAAAUACCUUUUAUUCUGGAAAUAAAAAUUUGGAAUAAAAAGUAAUGUAUUUUGGUAGAUCCGGAAGAGAUUAUUGUGUUCUGGAUAUAAAAAUCUGGAAAAAAAAUCAAAAUCUCAUUCCAAAUAAAAAAAAUUAGAACUGAAAAUAAUACAUUUUGAAAAAUUUUAUCCAGAAGAGAUUAUUGUGUUCGGAAAAAAGGGUCCAGAAUGUAAUUUUAUAUGUACCCAUUUUUUUAAGGGUAUUUUUGUUUUUUCCCUUCUAAUUGGGUGCAGUGAUAUGGUGCAGGAAUCAAUUAUCCUUUGUCAUGUCAGCAAUUUGCACAAUAAUGAGACCCUUAUACUAGACUUAUCCACGUUGGGGUGGAGAAAGUAAUUGUGAGGCGGGUCCUGUUGGUGUGGAUGCGAGAAGCCUGAUGGUAGGGAAUGAAGGAAUCGCCGUGGGAAUUAUUGACUUUAGCAUGUGAAAUUAGCAAUACUAAUAUUUAAUUAGUUAAAUGGAAUUAUAGUUAUUAUAUAGGUUGAUAUGAGAUUUUGUGGUUGUUACAGUAAAAAUGUAAAAAAAAAAUACAAUAAAUGUGGUAUGAAAAUCAUAUUUGAUCCAAUAUUUUUUCAAAUUCUUAUAUUUUCUUACCUUUUUCUUUCACUUUUAUAUUUUUUUAAUUUUAAUAAUAUUCUUUUGCGAUGUUACAUUUUUCUUUAUUUUCAAAUGGUGAUGGUUAUUUGUGGUGGUUGAUAGUGAACCUUACUAAUUAAAUUAAGUUUUGAGUAUUUUUUUUACUGGUGAUGGUUGUGUUUUUGUUUGUUUAUUUUUUUUAAGUCAUAAAACUCAAAAAGAAACCAACUAGGUGUAAAAACGGGAUAAAGAAUCUUCUCAUCAACUCUCUCACCAAUUUUGUUUACUGGAGUGUGAUAUGAAAAGGAAAUGUCAGUUUUUUCUUGGAACCCUACAAUGUUAUGCAGAGACAAAUAUAUCUCUAGUAUUUUCUAAAAAACCUAAAAUGCACUUAAGAUCCACAUUCAACUCUUCUUCCUUUGCCCACAAACUGCAUACACAAACUCCAUUUCUCUUUAAACAGUGGCGACACUGCUCCAUCCCUUGGCACAAGAAGGUAUCUUCAUCUUAUUUUUUAGGACAAAAUUUUUUGUAGUUUGUGAUAAUGUAAGAACGUAAAAAUAUUAAACACCACAUACCCCUCGUCCCACGCACGAAACUUUUCUUUCUUUCUCUCUCCGUCUCUCCCAACUCAUAUUCUCUUCCUUCUCUCUUAAUUUCCUCUCCCAAUCUUCAUCUAUUGUAGAAUCUGAUCGCACCACAUUGUAGCUGAGGAGUUAAGGAACAUUUCUACCCGAUCAGAUUUUCAAUCAAAGUAAAUUCAUUUUUGUUCUAAAGAUCCUUUAUUCUAUAUUUCUCCUUAGGAUUUAGUCAUCAAUCUUGGUGAGGUUAGUUGAGAAGAGUAAUCCUCUUAACUUAUUCUACUAUAUACUGAAUUUUUAUUUUGUUUGGAUAACUUGCAUUAGGCCCUUAAAUCUUACCGCUUAUCCGGAUUGAGAGGAUAAAGUUCUAGAAGUUGCUUGGAAAACAAGCAUUAAGGUAAGGGAAACUAACUUUAAUUUUCAAUAGUACCCUAGAAUAUCUGAAUAUGGAGGGGAUGUGGUCUCAAUAUUCAAUUUCUUUUGCAAGGAUGUUGUUUAUUUAUAUAUUGUGUUUUUGUUUUUAUAUUUUUUAAACUUGUAAAAAUAUUAGAUUUUGAUAGUUUGGAAGUUAAAUAUUGUUUUUGACGUUGGAAAGGUUCUUGAAUGUUAUGAAUUUUAAAAUGUUAUGUGAUUGAGUGAUAUGUAUUAUAUAUGAAUGAUGAAAAUUAUAUGAAAUUGUGUCAUAUAUUUGGAAUAAUGUAUGAGUUGUUAUUUCAUGACAUUCAGUAUGAAAAAUCUAUGUUUAGUAGCGAUCAUCUAGCUUCACUGAUAAUCUAAGUCAUAUAGAUUAAGAUAUCAGGUGGUAAGAAGUUGAGAGAGAGUUCAUACACAUCGGGUCCCGUUGUAGACAUUCGGUAUUGGAUGUUUGAACUUACCCUGAUCCUUUCACUUAGAUUCGUUGGUAACCUUUGGAUUAGGUGUUAAUCUUUGGUAUGGGCAUACUUAAUGAGUCUUUCGGAAGACGAUGAAUUCAUGUGUAGUCAGUGGGAUUGAAAUGAAAUCUAAUGUCUGUGAUUGAAAAUACAUUCAUGUGUGGUCUAUAUUAAUGGUGAAAUUGGUAUUGCAAUUUUAUAUGACAACAUUUAAAGAAAUGUUUAUAAAUUAUUAGUUUGAUUGGUUGUUUUUGUAUGAAUUAGAUAUGUUAUGAAAUUUCUUGUCAUUAACUUACCCUUGCUUUUUCUUGUUGUGUUUGAACUUCGAUGACUCUACACGAGCAGAUGAUCAUACAUGUGUCGGAGGAUCUGAAGAGCUUUAGGGUGUUGUUUUGAAACUUAUAUUGUAAAUAUUUGUAUUUCUAUAAGCUCUAAUAAUAUAUUAUGAAUGUUUUGAAAAACUUUAAAUUUGUAUAGAAAUAUGUAUGACUUGUAUUGUAAUACUUUUGGGAUGCCACACUUUUAAAUUUAUUGUUUAUAGAAAUUCUUUAAUAUUUGUAUUUCAAAA
rnacentral:lncRNA from 1 species